UACGAAGGGUGCAAACGUUGCUCGGAAUUAUUGGGCGUAAAGCGCACGUAGGCGGCUUAGCAAGUCGGAUGUGAAAGCCCUCGGCUCAACCAAGGAAGUGCAUCCGAAACUGCUGAGCUUGAGUACUUAAGAGGAUCGCGGAAUUCCCGGUGUAGAGGUGAAAUUCGUAGAUAUCGGGAAGAACACCGGUGGCGAAGGCGGCGACCUGGGUCGAUACUGACGCUGAUGCGCGAAAGCGUGGGGAGCAAACAGG
rnacentral:rRNA from 1 species